UCGAACCCUCUCCUCUCCUCUCAUUCGCCCUCCUCUCCGUCGCCAUUCCUGGCCAGUCCCGUCCUCGCCUCUCCCUCUCCUCCCUCGGCUUUGGUGACAAGCAUGAGGUAUGAGAUAUUUGCUACCAGGCCCAAACAAGGCAUCGGCGAUUUGUGUGAUUGCUAUUCUCGACCACCGGAUUUUGCAUAGCGACGAAAAUAACCAUUCCCGACCCUUCUCUCCCCUCUCGUCGUCUUUCCGAUUGGUGGUCGGUGGGCAGAAGGGGGACAUGAGAGACGCCUUAAGCUUCAGUGCAGCAGCAGCGGCAACUGUACCGAAAUUACCAUUCUGCCAACUUGGUUCAUUCCCCUUUCUUGAUCUUACUAAACCCACUCUCCUCCCUUAUAAAACCUUCUAUUCACAUCCCCUCCCCUCUUCUUCUCAUCCUCCCCAUCAUCAUCUGCCCUCUCGGAAUCCCAUUUCCGCCUCUCUCCGGUUCGUCGUCGCCGCCGCCGCCGCCGCAGAGCAAGCAGCAUCCAUGGCGGCGCCAUCCGCUGCAGAGUCCAAGCCCUUCUCCGUGCUUUUCGUUUGCCUCGGCAACAUCUGCCGAAGCCCUGCCGCGGAGGCCGUGUUCAGAGACCUUGUCCGCAAGAGGGGAUUGGAGUCCAAAUUCUGGAUCGAUUCCGCCGGCACCAUCGGCUACCACGAAGGUAAUCCAGCGGACUCAAGGAUGAGGGCAGCAUCCAAAAGGCGUGGGAUCGAGGUGACUUCGAUCUCGAGGCCGAUUCGAUUUCAAGGAGUUUGAUCUCAUACUAGCCAUGGACAUGCAAAACAGAGGGGGCUUACAGAGGCCCGAAACCCCGGCGGGAUUUGGUAGGCGACUGGGUCUCCAACAACGAUGGGUUCGUCUGGAGCUUGCCCAUCUUCGUGGGCGGCCUCUCCUUGCUCGCUGUCCUCCUUAACCGCGCCUUCUCCGGCAUCGCCCCCGAGUUCUUGAACAACGACGGCGACGAGAAUUCUCCAUAAUAUCUGUCUACUUUCUUCUUCGAUCAACCUUAUCUGUUACCAAUUGAGUGAUCAAAGAUAAUUCUCCAUAAUAUCUGGUUCUAUCUCUCAAGAUACCAAGUCUCAUGAUUGAUUUCUUUAUUCUUUUUAUCAGGUGCUAUCUGUGGCUGUGUACAACCACUAUAAAAGAAUCUAUCAUGCAUCUUUACAGAAAGUAUCUGGAGCUGAUUCAGGGAAUUUUGAGGCUGAAAAUGAUGAUGAUAAUGUAGAGUUAGAGAAAAGCAAUGUGCUCUUGAUGGGCCUUACUGGCUCAGGACAGGAAAGACAUUACUUGCAAAAACAUUAGCUCGCUUUGUGAAUGUGCCGUUUGUUAUUGCAGAUGCAACAACACUGACACAGGAAAGGGGACCAAGAGUUGAGAAAAGUAAUGGGAGAAACAGCCAGAUGACAUACCGGGGGGAACCACCUCUCAAGCUUUAAACAUGAUGCCUCACCCAAAUGAAGAGG